UACGGAGGAUCCAAGCGUUAUCCGGAUUUAUUGGGUUUAAAGGGUGUGUAGGCGGGGCUUUAAGUCAGUGGUGAAAUCUCCGAGCUCAACUUGGAAACUGCCAUUGAUACUAUUGAUCUUGAAUUUUGUUGAGGUAGGCGGAAUAAGUCAUGUAGCGGUGAAAUGCAUAGAUAUGACUUAGAACACCAAUUGCGAAGGCAGCUUGCUAAACAAAUAUUGACGCUGAGGCACGAAAGCGUGGGGAUCAAACAGG
rnacentral:rRNA from 1 species